rnacentral:rRNA from 1 species
UAACACAUGCAAGUCGAACGGUGAAGAGAAGCUUGCUUCUCGGAUCAGUGGCGGACGGGUGAGUAACAUGUGAGGAACCUGCCUUUCAGAGGGGGAUAACGUUUGGAAACGAACGCUAAUACCGCAUAACAUAUUCGGACGGCAUCGUCUGAAUAUCAAAGGAGCAAUCCGCUGAAAGAUGGCCUCGCGUCUGAUUAGCUAGUUGGUGAGGUAACGGCCCACCAAGGCGACGAUCAGUAGCCGGUCUGAGAGGAUGAACGGCCACAUUGGGACUGAGAUACGGCCCAGACUCCUACGGGAGGCAGCAGUGGGGAAUAUUGGGCAAUGGGCGAAAGCCUGACCCAGCAACGCCGCGUGAAGGAAGAAGGCCUUCGGGUUGUAAACUUCUUUUACCAGGGACGAAGAACGUGACGGUACCUGGAGAAAAAGCAACGGCUAACUACGUG